GACGAACGCUGGCGGCGUGCUUAACACAUGCAAGUCGUACGGAAAGGCCUCUUUCGGGGGGUACUCGAGUGGAGAACGGGUGUGUAACACGUGUGUAACCUGCACUUGACUUUGGGAUAACUUGAGGACACUGGGGCUAAUAGCGGAUAGGCGCUCCUGGUGCAGGGUGGGGGUGGGAACGUUUCGGGGGUUGGGGGUGGUCGCGGGGCUUCUCAGCUUGGUGGGGGGGUAGUGGCUUACCAAGGCUUUGACGGGUAGCCGGCCUGAGGGGGUGACCGGCCACAUUGGGACUGAGAUACGGCCCAGACUCCUACGGGAGGCAGCAGUGGGGAAUAUUGCACAAGGGGUGGAAGCCUGAUGCAGCAACGCCGUGUGCGGGAUGACGGCCUUCGGGUUGUAAACCGCUUUCGCUCAUGACGAAGCUUUGUGUGACGGUAGUGGGUAAAGAAGCACCGGCUAACUACGUG
rnacentral:rRNA from 1 species